UACGUAGGGGGCAAGCGUUCUCCGGAUUUACUGGGUGUAAAGGGAGCGCAGGCGGCAGUGCAAGCCAGUAGUGAAAACCCGGGGCUCAACCCCGAGGAUUGCUUUUGGAACUGUGCUGCUGGAGUGCAGGAGGGGCAGGCGGAAUUCCUGGUGUAGCGGUGAAAUGCGUAGAUAUCAGGAGGAACACCGGUGGCGAAGGCGGCCUGCUGGACUGUAACUGACGCUGAGGCUCGAAAGCGUGGGGAGCAAACAGG
rnacentral:rRNA from 1 species